GUACUUCCAAAUUACACAUACUAAAAUUACUAUAAUACAAAGAAGGUCAAUAUGGCCCCUGCGCAAGGAUGACACGUAGAAUCGUGAAGCUUUCCUCAUAUUU